rnacentral:rRNA from 1 species
GGUCUAACAACUAGCAAUUAUGAUAAAACUAAAAAUUAAAUAUAACUAGUUUAUAAAAAGUUACAUAAAACUAAACAAAUCAUUUUUUAGCCUUAGUAUGGGGGACAAAAAAGGCUCUAACAGCAACAGAAGAAGUACCGCAAGGGAAGGUUGAAAGAGAAAUGAAAAACUAAGUAAAACAGAAAAAAGCAGAGCUAAAACCUCGUACCUUUUGCAUCAUGAUCUAGUAAGUGUGCUUUAAGCAAAAAGUCUUAUAGUUUAACCACCCGAAACUAAGCGAGCUACUCCGAGACAGCCUUAUUAAAGGGCAAACCCGUCUCUGUGGCAAAAGAGUGGGGGGAGCUCCGAGUAGGGGUGAAAGACCUAUCGAGCUUGGUUAUAGCUGGUUGCCUGAGAGAUGAAUAGUAGUUCAGCACUAUUACUUCUUAAACCCCCUAUAUUUAUACCUUUGGUUUAGAAGAAGUUUUAGUAGUUAAUUUAAAGAGGGACAGCUCUUUAAAUAUAAAACACAAUUUAUUAAAUGGGUAGAGAUCAUAUCAUUAAAGGUAAAUAAACACAGGUGGGCUUGAAAGCAGCCAUCCGCGUAGAAAGCGUUAAAGCUCGUGAUAAAAUAGAACCUAAAAUACCGAAAACCCUAUCUUAACCCUUUAUAAGUAUCAGGCUAUGUUAUUUAAUUUAACAGUAAUUAUGCUAGUAUGAGUAAUAAGGGGCAGCCCCCCUCCUUGCACGAGUGUACAUCGGAACGAACUAACACCGACCCCUAACGCCUUCAAACAGAGGAUAAUGGGCCUGUUAUAAAUAACUAGUAAAAUACCCAUAUUUAAGCGUUAACCCCACACUGGAGUGCCUUCAAGGAAAGAUUAAAAGGAAGAAAAGGAACUCGGCAAACCUAAGCCUCGCCUGUUUACCAAAAACAUCGCCUCUUGUAAUUUAAAAAUAAGAGGUCCCGCCUGCCCGGUGACUCCCUGUUUAACGGCCGCGGUAUUUUGACCGUGCAAAGGUAGCGUAAUCACUUGUCUUUUAAAUGAAGACCUGUAUGAAAGGCAUCACGAGGGCUUAACUGUCUCCUCUUCCCAAUCAAUUAAAUUGAUCCCCCCGUGCAGAAGCGGGGAUAUAUUCAUAAGACGAGAAGACCCUAUGGAGCUUUAAACACACCAGGUUUACGUUACUACCCCCCAGUCAAAGGAAUGAACUAAGUAUACACCUAGAGAAUGUUUUUGGUUGGGGCGACCGCGGGAAAAUAAAUAACUCCCAUGGUGAAGAAGUAUAUUGCUUCUAAAGCUAAGACAGUCAAGUCAAAGCCAUAGAAACUCUAACAAAAGAUCCGGCUAGCCGAUCAACGAACCGAGUUACCCUAGGGAUAACAGCGCAAUCCCCUUUAAAAGACCUUAUUAACAAGGGGGUUUACGACCUCGAUGUUGGAUCAGGACAUCCUAAUGGUGCAGCCGCUAUUAAGGGUUCGUUUGUUCAACGAUUAAAGUCCUACGUGAUCUGAGUUCAGACCGGAGUAAUCCAGGUCAGUUUCUAUCUAUGAUAGGCUUUUUCUAGUACGAAAGGACCGAAAAAGGGGGGCCCAUGCUAUAAGCAAGCCUCUAUCUCAUCUGCUGAAAGCAAAUAAAACAGGUAAGAGGACUAAAAACCUUUAUCCUAUAUAGGAUUU